GUCUUGUAGAUUAAAAUUAUAAGUCUGUUCUGCCCACUGAAAUUAUUUAAAGGCUGCAGUAUAUUGACUGUACAAAGGUAGCAAAAUCAAUUGUUUUUUAAUUGAAAACUGGAAUGAAAGAAUUGAUGAAAUAAUGAUUGUUUCAAAAUUAAAAAUUGAAUUUAAAUUUUAAGUUAAAAUGCUUAAAUAGAUUUAUUAGACGAGAAGACCCUAUAGAAUUUUAUAAAAUUUUUUAUAAUAAAUUAAAUUGUAAAUUGAUUUAUAAUAAAAAUUAUAUUUUAUUGGGAGGAUAAUUAAAUUAAAUAAACUUUAAUUUUUUUAAAAACAUAGAUUAAUGAAUAUUUGAUUAUUUUUAUAAUUAAAAGAAUAAAUUACCUUAGGGAUAACAGCGUAAUAUUUUUGGAGAGAUCAUAUUGAAAAAAAUGAUUACGACCUCGAUGUUGAAUUAUGAUAUAAUUUAGAUGAAGAAAUUUAAAUUGUUAGUCUGUUCGACUAUUAAAAUCAUACA
rnacentral:rRNA from 1 species